GAUGAAGAACGCAGCGAAAUGCGAUACUUGGUGUGAAUUGCAGAAUCCCGUGAACCAUCGAGUCUUUGAACGCAAGUUGCGCCCGAAGCCAUCAGGUUGAGGGCACGUCUGCCUGGGCGUCACAUAUCGUUGCCCAAUGCCUAUUGCAGUGCAAUAGGAAUUUCUAGGGCGAAUGAUGGCUUCCCGUGAGCGUUGUUGCCUCGCGGUUGGUUGAAAAUCGAGUCCUUGGUAGGCUGUGCCAUGGUAGAUGGUGGUCGAGUUAGAACGAUACCGAUCAUGUGCAUGCUCCCCAAAAUAUGGCCUCUAUGACCCACACGCGUCUUUUGACGCUCAUGACGAGACCUCAGGUCAGGCGGGGCUACCCGCUGAAUUUAAGCAUAUCAAUAAGCGGAGGA
rnacentral:misc_RNA from 1 species